UACGUAGGGUGCGAGCGUUACUCGGAAUUACUGGGCGUAAAGCGUGCGCAGGCGGUUUUGUAAGCCAGAUGUGAAAUCCCCGGGCUUAACCUGGGAAUGGCAUUUGGGACUGCAAGGCUCGAGUGCGGCAGAGGAGACUGGAAUUCCUGGUGUAGCAGUGAAAUGCGUAGAUAUCAGGAGGAACACCAGAGGCGAAGGCGGCCUACUGGGCUGCACCUGACGCUGAGCCGCGAAAGC
rnacentral:rRNA from 1 species